UCGGGUCGCGUAGGCCACUCGUGCCUGCCAACGACAGGUGAUUGACAAAGUGCCUUGACACACGGGACCGAGAUGUCAGCCGGAGAAAAAAUGGAGGAGGUAAAGGUGACAUUCUGUUGUUGCUAUCGAACGUGAUGCAUGCACUGUGCAUAAAUAUUGGAACAAUUUUACAUUGCUAAACGUGAUUAAAGGUUUCCCGGGGAUUCCUGUGAAAUAGAAAUAGCUGCUUCUUACGGGACCCUGUAAGGAUGGAAAAGGGGCGGCGAUUUUUGUCUUCCGUUCACGGCGAGUUUUUAUUCACCGCGAUUGAAAGAGUAGGAGAAACUUGAACAAUGAUUGGAGAGGGUACCCUUUGACUGUGCGAACCAGUGUUGGGCGUGUUAACGAAAUAUUUCAUUAUUUGUUUAAUCCAUGGUGAAUUCAGGGUUGAUUUGGAACAGUACUGGUUAAUGUAUUAUUUUAUAUACUAUAUGGGUCUAUUUCGUUUGAAACUGUCUGCGUAAUAUUCGGAGUGGAAUAUUUUAUUCUGGGGAAUAACUGUUUAGAACAGUGUUUGAGAAUAGAGAACAAGCAGAAUCGGAACGAAAUAGAAUGAAACAAAUGCUCAGAUAUGAAAGCUAAUUAUAGUGAUUCUUUAAACAAAUCGGCUGGUUUAUUUACGGUGCUGCAGAUAAAUGCAGAAUAAGGGACGGACGGGGAGUGAAAUCACAUCGAUGGA